CACGUAGGGUGCGAGCGUUGUCCGGAAUUAUUGGGCGUAAAGAGCUCGUAGGCGGUCUGUCGCGUCGGAUGUGAAAACUCGGGGCUCAACCCCGAGCCUGCAUUCGAUACGGGCAGACUAGAGUUCGGUAGGGGAGACUGGAAUUCCUGGUGUAGCGGUGAAAUGCGCAGAUAUCAAGAGGAACACCGGUGGCGAAGGCGGGUCUCUGGGCCGAUACUGACGCUGAGGAGCGAAAGCGUGGGGAGCGAACAGG
rnacentral:rRNA from 1 species